UCCAGAGAUUUAGGGCUUUGUCGGAUCUGUCCAGUGACGGCGGUGUGGUGAGGUCACGAGAUUGAAGGGAUUAAGAUUGAUUUCUUCUUGAUCCGGAAUGUAGAGUGGAAUUCAACACAUUGCUACUCUGUGGAUUUUUUUUUGGUGCGGC